rnacentral:rRNA from 1 species
CGCCUGUUUAUCAAAAACAUCACCUCUAGCAUCACCAGUAUUCGUCGCCUGUUUAUCAAAAACAUGUCCUUUAGUUUAAAAUAUAAGGUUUAACCUGCCNNCUGAAUAUUAAAUGGCCGCGGUAUUUUGACCGUGCUAAGGUAGCAUAAUCAUUAGUUUUUUAAUUGAAAGCUGGAAUGAAAGGUUGGAUGAAAAAAUUACUGUCUCUAAAUAAUUUAAUUAGAAAUUUAUUUUUAAAUUAAAAAGUUUAAAUAAAUUUAAAAGACGAGAAGACCCUAUAGAGUUUUAUAUAAUUUAUUUUAUAAUAUUUAGGUAUUUAUUAUUUAUAAUAUAAUUUAUAUUUAAUUGGGGUGAUUGAAAAAUUUAUUAAACUUUUUUCUUAUUUAUAUAUAUAUUUAUANNUUAAUGAUCCAUUANUUUUGAUUAUAAGAAUAAAUUACCUUANGGAUNACAGCAUAAUUUUAUUANAAAGUUCAAAUUGAUAAUAAAGAUUGUGCACCUCNAUGUNGGAUUAAAAUUAAUUUUUGGUGUAGAAGCUAAAUAAAUA